CGGACAACGCUGGCGGCGUGCUUAACACAUGCAAGUCGAACGGUGACGAGGAGCUUGCUCCUCUGAUCAGUGGCGAACGGGUGAGUAACACGUGAGCAACCUGCCCCAGACUCUGGGAUAACAGUUGGAAACAGCUGCUAAUACCGGAUACGAGACGGAGAGGCAUCUCUACCGUCUGGAAAGUUUUUCGGUCUGGGAUGGACUCGCGGCCUAUCAGCUAGUUGGUGAGGUAAUGGCUCACCAAGGCGACGACGGGUAGCCGGCCUGAGAGGGCGACCGGCCACACUGGGACUGAGACACGGCCCAGACUCCUACGGGAGGCAGCAGUGGGGAAUAUUGCACAAUGGGCGAAAGCCUGAUGCAGCGACGCCGCGUGAGGGAUGACGGCCUUCGGGUUGUAAACCUCUUUCAGCAGGGAAGAAGCGAAAGUGACGGUACCUGCAGAAGAAGCACCGGCUAACUACGUG
rnacentral:rRNA from 1 species